rnacentral:rRNA from 1 species
AAUGAACGUUGGCGGCGUGGAUUAGGCAUGCAAGUCGUACGGGUCGGUGUAGCAAUACAACGGCAAGUGGCGAAAGGGAGAGUAACGCGUAGAUACCUACCCUCUGGUCGGGGAUACCGCGGCAUAACCGCAAGUAAUACCCGAUAAUAUCUCCGGAUCAAAGGUGUGAUUCCGCCGGAGGAGGGGUCUGCGUUUCAUCAGCCUGUUGGUGAGGUAAUGGCUCACCAAGGCUAAGACGAAUACGGGGUGUGAGAGCAUGCCCCCGCUCACUGGGACUGAGACACUGCCCAGACACCUACGGGUGGCUGCAGUCGAGAAUCUUCGGCAAUGGGCGCAAGCCUGACCGAGCGACGCCGCGUGCGGGAUGAAGGCCUUCGGGUUGUAAACCGCUGUCGAGGGGGAUAAAGUGCAGGUGGGUACUCCCAUCUGUUUGAUAGAUCCCUGGAGGAAGCAUGGGCUAAGUUCGUGCCAGCAGCCGCCGUAACAC